rnacentral:lncRNA from 1 species
GAUUGGAUCUCUCUAUUUCUUUAUGCAAUUGACAAUUGUUUGAUGCCUAGGGCCCAAGGACGUUCCUUGGCAAUUUGUUAAUUAGUAAUUAAUUAGAGGACGUUCCCUAAUUAAUUUAAUCAUAAGGAGAGACAUGGUGGUGAGAAGCGUCUUCCACCCCCAUAACUAAUCUAUUGAACCAAUCGAGAUAAUCUAAGUUUCAAUGAUCAAUCCAAACAACCAAAGUGGAUCCAUAUCUUCAACUAGACUUUUCUCAUAUUGAUUCCCUCUUUUAUUUUAAUUAUUUGCUUUUUAUUAUUAUUCUCAUUAUUAGUUUACUACAAUCAAUCUCAAACCCCCCAUUUUACUUUUACUGCAAUUUAAUUUUAUUAUGUUUCCAGUUUAUCUCAUUUGAUCCCACUUUCAGUCUUUUAUCUCAUCUUUAAUUUAUUAUUGUUUCAGUUCAUUUUAUUGGUCUUGUUGAGAAAAAUAAAUAAGUAAUCAAUUCUCUGUGGAUUCGAUCCUUUCACCACUAUCUGCAGUUGUAAAAUUGUUGAUAACCAGGAAGGUUAUUUUUGACCGGCUUCGACAACCGCGAGUCAUGUGGGUAGGGUGGAUAGAAAGGUGGAUAGGGCAUGUAGGUAGGGUAGGGGCUAUAGUUGGUGUAAUCCGAUGUGUUUCCCAUCGGAUACCCUGUACCCUGAGCAAAGGGUGGAUAAUGGGGUGGAAAACCAUACCCCGAGGCCUGAGUGCCUCCUUGUGACUCCCCUGUCCCUUCUUCCGUCAUGCUGACAUCCAGGUUUCCAUCCCUCCUCUGAUCUUCUUCCAUAACCUCCCUCACAUCUGAAGAACUUCCUCCUCUGUCUGUCCCCCUUCUACUAGUAUCAAAAGACCUUCUAGGGUCCCUUGGUACCCUUUCUCUGUUCGCUCUGCAUGACAUUGCCCUAGGCAAUGUUGGAGGACGGGCACUAGUGCCCUCAUCCUCUGGUGGGACUCCUGUCAAUCGUGCAGAUCGACGAGUUCCUCUCAUCCUAUUUUCUGAAAAACAGCACAUACAAAACUUCAAACAUCAGUAUCAUAUGGUCCAUGUGGAAACACAUGAACCUGCAUCGCAUAUAUGGCAAACAUAGCAUAACAUUUAUGCACAUGUAUAUAAUCAUGGCAUAUCACAUCAUCAAUCAAGACAGGACUCUACAUCCUAUCCUAGUGGACAUGACUUUUCCUAUUGUGCUUGACCUCCUAUAACAUCUAUGAGCCCGACACGCUAGGUCCGAUCAUGUGAACCUAGGGCUCUGAUACCACUCUGUAACGCCCCGCAAUCCGGACCGCUACCGGCGCUAGGAUCCAGAUCGGCGUAAGGCCGCCGGGACCCGUAGCAAGCCUAACAUAUAACCUGUGAACCUGUUUCAUCCCAUACAUGAUCAUACAUCCUCAUAAGUCUGUAAACAUUCUCUCUUACAUCAACCAAGCUCAAACUGUAUAUAAACAUAAACAUAAACACAAACCUCCACUGGAGCCCUCAUCAAAUGCUCCAAUGGGGUAUCUCAUCAUACAUGAACUUGGUUGAAGCUUAACAUCAUAUAUCAUAACUUAAAGAUCAUGUACAUAACAAUGGGAUUGACAACAUAUAAUGGUCAAGCACAAAUCUAACCUCAAUAACAUAACUUGCAAUUACAUAACUGUUCUAGACUUUACAUUACAUCUUAAUCAUUUGUCAUGUCCACAAACUAUCUAUUACAUGAACAAAACUUCAUAACACUAGCUGAUCUCCUGGUCUACCCUGUACCUGCACGCCUGGGGUUAGGGGAAAGGGGUGAGCUGCGAAGCCCAGUGAGCAGAAUAUAAAAAAAACAUAUAUUAAAAAUGUUCCAUGCUUCCAUGAAAUGCAACACAUCACAAAAAAAUCACAUAAGGAUGGUAUUGUCACCUAUAGUCCUCAACGUAGUCCAACUGUGCCAGGGGCGUAGAAUGGGCCUCACUGGUCUUUCUCUUACAUAUCAUAACAUAUAGUCCAACUGUGCCAGGGGCGUAGAAUGGGCCUCACUGGUCUUUCUCUUACUCUGUGCCAGGGGCGUAGAAUGGGCCUCACUGGUCUUUCUCUAUCAUAACCUCAUCAUAUCAUAUCAUAAGAGGACUAAAGGAUCAUUCAAUAACCUAUCCACAUCCACAUCAAAUUAUGCAAUGCAACAUAUUCGUGAAAAGCUAAUGCAAACAUCCUAUAAUAUCACAUGGCAUACAUGAUGCAUGAGCAUGCUCAAAAAGUUAUGUUUCAUUUAUUUAAAAACUUAAGGUUUAUUCCACUCACCUCUGGCUAGCUCUGAAGACUCUGACACAGCUGACUCACUGCUGGGGUUCUCGGUUCCUCGGGUCCGAACCUACACAGGUGGACGCUAAUGAGGGACCAAACAUAUAUAAACAUCUCUCUAAUAUACUCCCCAAAAACCCCCUUAAAACAUCAUGAAAUCAUCAUACAAAAAAUAUGCAUGAAAGGGCUGAACAGGGCACUUUCGGCGGCACCUUCGGCGGCCGAAAGUCCUGGACAGAUCCGAAAGUCAGGCACUUUCGGCGGCACCUUCGGCGGCCGAAAGUCCCAGACAGAGACGAAAGUCUCUUUUCGGGGGCAACUUCGGCAGCCGAAUGCUGCCUCCACAAAGGGGGUUCGGCGGCCGAAACUCCCUUCGGCUGCCGAACCUGGUUUCUGCCAAAGGGGCAGAAACUUGGUUCAAACGAACCUCCUGCCUCCCAAAACUUCAAAUCAUGCAUAAACUUGUUUUACAACAUGCAUACUUCACAUACAUUACACCUAGGGGUCUCAAACUAUCAUAUACCCCAUCUACAACACUUCAAACACACAAACAUCAACAUACAUUGCUCAAAAUCACAACAUAAACCCAUAAACAUGCCCAUAACCUAAACAUGCAUUCUACCCCAUAAAACCACUUAAAGCUUACUUAAAACAUGCAAUGGGUUUAAGAUCGGCUCUUACCUCUUGAAGAUCGAGAGAGAGACAACCAAAAACUCGGGGGUGGGAGAGAUUGGGUUCUUGAACCUCCAAGCUCCCAAAAAAACUUUGCUCAAAAGCUCAAAUCUUCAAAACAAAGUUAAAACAAGUGAAAAUCUUGAAAGAUCUAAAGAAAACACUCAAGAUCGAGGGAGGAGCGGCGGAGACUCACCCUGGCCGACAACAGGGGAGAAAAAGCUCGCCCGUGCGGACCUAAGGGACCCUUUUAUAGUGGCUGGCCAGGCCACGUUCGGGGGCCGAAAAUGCCUCCGCAUGCAUGCCAUGUUCGGCGGCCGAACUUGAGCUUCGGCGGCCGAACCUGGACUUCCCUCGCUCAUGCUUUCAGGGGCCUAACAUGCCUCCUAAUCACAUGCAUGUUCGGUGGCCAAACUUGUCUUUCGGCUGCCGAACCUGGGUUUUCCUCUAAAAAAUUUUCAUGUAAAAACUCAUUUAAAAAUCAUACUUAAAACAUUAAAAUACAUGAAAACAUUUUAUAAAAACAUGUUUGUACCCUUCUAGAGGUUUCCGACAUCCGAAUUCCACCGGACGGUAGAAAUUCCAAUACCGGAGUCUAGCCGGGUAUUACACACUGUGCCCGGCCCUCCUAGGGCUCCUCAGGACUUCUAUACAUACACGUUCGAGGGCUAAUGGGUCCACACUGUGCCCGUCCCAUAGCCAAGUAAUAAUGCAAUGCAAUAUCUUCGUGUAUACUAAUGCAAUGCAAUACACCCUAUCAUAAACAUGGCAUUUAUGAUGCAUGGAUCAUGCUAAAACAUUCAUUAAAUUUAAAAACAUAGUUCUGUUCCACUCACCUUUGUCAACUGCUGUAACAGUCUUUGUAACUCUAACUCUGUGGGCCUCCUUUGUAAUACCCGGCUAGAGUCCAUCAUCGGAAUUCCUGUAGUCCGGUGGAUUUCUGAUGUCGGAAUGCCCUAGAAGGGUUCGGGUAUGUUUUUAUGUGUUUUUUUAAAGAGUUUUAAUGUUUUAAAGUGUUUAAAAGAAUGAGUUUUUGAAAGAAAAGCACCAAGGCAGAAAAGCCAAGGUUCGGCCGUCGAAGGUCACUUUCGGCCGCCGAACUUGCAUGGCUUUCGGGUUUCACGUUUGGCCGCCGAAGGUGGUCUGGCCAGCCACCUAUAAAAGGCCCUAGGUCGGUCAAAUGGAUAAGAUUUCCUUUCCAUUUGCACGAGCUGAGGUGAGACUUGAUCCUCCUUGGGUGAUUUGUGUGUUUUCUCAAAUCUUUCAUGUUUUUGAAUGAUUUUCAUGGGGUUUUGAAGGUUUUGAGCAAAAAGAGCAAGUUUGGAAACUUGGAGAUUUUGGGAGAAGAUUUCUUCAUAACUCCACGUUAGGAUCGUUUAUUUCCUUGUUUGGAAGAGGUAAGUAAAGAUCCUGAACUUCCUUUCUUAAUUUUUGAAGGUUUUAAGGGAGUUUUAUGGUGUAUAUGCAUGUUUAAGUGUUAUUUGCUAUGUUUGUUGGGGUUAUAGGUUAGUUUUAGACCCCUUUGUGCAUGUUAUAUGGCAUGUGCUAGUUGGGAGUAGUUGAUAUGCAUGUUGGAUAGGUUUUAGGUGAGUUUUGCAUGAAACAGAGCAGGCUUCUGCACUAUGGGCAAAGCUAGGUUCGGCCACCGAAGGAAGGUUCGGCCGCCGAACCCCUUGUGGAGGCAGUUUCGGCUGCCAAAGCUUGCCUCCGAAAAUUUGGACUUUCGUCUCUGGAGGUAAGGUUCGGCCGUCGAAAGUGCCGCUGAAGGUUUGAGUUUCAUCUCUGGACGAGACUUUCGGCUGCCGAAGGUGCCGCCGAACAUGCAUGAGUUUCGUCUCUGGAGGGGGGUUUCGACCGUCGAACCUGCCGCCGAAAGUGCCCUGUCCAACCUUCUUUUGCAUGUUUUAUGUGAUAGUUUUAGGAUCUUUUAGAGGGCUUUUGGGGGAGUUAUUAGAGAUGUUCUUGAGUUAGUUUGGUCCCUCAUUUGUGUCCACCUGUGUAGGAACGGACUAGAGGAAUCAGGGGAGUCAGCAGUGAGCACUGCUUCAGAACCUGCAAAGUUAGUUCAGAGUCAGCCAAAGGUGAGUGGAACUAAACUUAAUGUUUUAAUAUGAGAACUUAAAUAUUUUUUGCAUGUUCCAUGCAUCAUGACUAUGUUAUAGGAUGUGUGCAUUAGUGCAUUAGUACUCACGAAGAUGUUGCAUUGCAUUUUAUGAUGUUGUUAUGGAUGGUUAUUGAAUGAUCUAAUAGUUUUCAUGUGAUAUGAUGAUACGGUAUGGAAGUCCAGGUCGAGGCCCAUUCUACGCCCCUGGCAUAUGUUAUGUUAUGUUAUGUUAUGGAAGAGAAAGACCAGGUCGAGGCCCAUUCUACGCCCCUGGCAUUAUUGGAGAGCUUGAGGACUAUUAGUGACAAUACUAUCCUUGCUAUGAAUUACUUGUGAUGUGAUGCAUUCCAUGAGAUCAUGAUUUUGAUAACUUGUUUUAUAGUUCUGCUCACUGGGCUAGUAUAGCUCAUCCCUCUCCCUUAACCCCAGUUUUGCAGGUUCAGUCUUCAGAGUCCAGAGGUCUAUAGCAGGGUGCAGCAGAGAGAAGAGAUAUGUAAUAGCUAGAGUGGACAUGUAAUUGUAAAGAAAUAGAAUAAUGUGUAUAGAAUGGUGCUUGACUUAUAAGAGUGUAAUCCCUUUUUGUAUAUGUACAUGGUCUGUUUAUGAAAAUGUUUUAUGUUUUAUGUAUGAAAACCAGGCUUGACAUUAUAUGAGAUGACCCGCCUAGAGCCAAGAUGAGAGCUCUAGUAGGGGUUUCACAGUACAGAGAUAGAGUAUGCACAGGUUAAGCCUUGGUACAGUGAAAUUUUUAAUUUUUAUGGAAAAUGUAUGAUCAUGUAUGGGAUUUCACAAGUACACAGAGUUCACAGGAGGCUUACUAUGGGUCCCGGCGACCUUAAGUCAAUCUGGAUCCUAGUGCCGGUAGCAGUUCGGUUUUUGGGCUGUUACAGAUUGGUAUCAGAGCCCUAAGUUCAUAUGAUCGGACCUAUAGAGGUAGAGUCGGGCUCAUAGAGGUUCUAGUAAUUCAAGCACCAUAGGAAAACAUGUCCACUAGGAUAGGAUGUCAGUCCUGUCUAUAUGAUGAUGUGGAAUGCCAUGAUUCAUGCAUGUGCAUUAUCUUAUGUGUGAUAUAUCUUUGAGGUUCAUGUGUUUUCACAUGGACUAUAUGUGUUGCUGAUGUGUUAUGUUAUGUGCUGUUUUCUAGAGAGUUAAGAUGCGAGGAACUCGUCGAUCCGCAAGAUUGACUGGAGUCCCACCUGAAAGUGAGGGUACAGCUGCUCGUCCUCCUGCAUUGCCAAGGGCAAGAUCUCACAGGUCAAGCAGGAAGGGAACAUCACGAGACCCUAGAAGGUCUUCUAAUGAGAGCAGAAGGGGAAUGGAUAGAGGAGGAAGAUCAGAAGAGAUGAGAGAAGCUAUGGAUGUUAGUCAGGACAGGGAUGAGAGUAUGGGAGUAGGAAGGUCUGAAGAAGGUAUGGGGGAGUCUCAGGGAGGUGCUCAGGCCUCGGGGUACAGCUAUCCACCCUUUCCACAGGGCCCGGGGUAUCCGAUGGGAGGUACGUCGGAUUUCUCCAGUUUUGCCCCAUAUCCAUCCUAUAUGCCCUACAUGCCUUACCCUUCCUUUUAUCCACCUUAUCACAUGUAUCCACCCCCACCUUUUCAUCCAAGUCCAGCACAACCAGAACCUAGAGAAACAGUACCUCCACCAUCACCACCACCUGAACCUGUAGCCCCUGUUGUUGAAGCACAGCAACCCAGUUCUUCAGGGGGGAACAAGGUGAAGAUGACAGAGUACUUAAAGUUGGAUGCUCCUAAAUUCAACACAGGAGAUGAUCCCUUUGAGUAUCUCAGUGCAGUCAGGAUGAUAACAAGUGAGUUGGGAGCAGAUGAUAGUAGGGCCAUUGAAAUGGCAGGGUUCACAUUGAAGUGUAAGAAAGCUAGAGAAUGGUUCAGAAGCUAUGUGGACCCCAGAAUAGACAGUAUGAUGUGGGAAGAGUUCGCCAAUGAGUUUGCUGGGUGGGCUUUUCCUGACAGUUCCAGGGAGAUGAAGGUUGUGGAGUUUGAGCAGUUGAGACAAACAGAGGAGAUGACCGUGGAUGAAUAUACAGAUAAGUUCCUGGAGUUGCUGCCAUACGUGGGUCAGGCGUAUGACACGGAUCAGAAGAAGGCAAGGAGAUAUGCCACAAGGCUUCACCCCAGGUAUUUCUCCUUGAUCCUUCCAGCAGAGAAGGAGAGCUUCCACUCGAUUGUGGAUGCCGCCAGGAAGAUGGAGGCUAGUGGCAUUAUACAAGGAACAGUCAAGCAGCCCAAGGCACAGUCUUCUGGUUCUAAGCCAGCUUCUUCCUCACAGAGUACAGCAGGUAUGGGCAAGAGGAGAUGGGACAAAGUGAGAGGUAAAAAGGGCAAGUUCUGGAACAAGAUCAGAUCUAGUCUGGGAAUGGGUAGCGGCUCCAGCUCUAGCACAGAUAAUCCAGUUUGCAAGAGGUGUGGGAAACUGCAUAGAGGAGCUUGUCUGGUGGGAUCUACAGCCUGCUAUAGAUGUGGGCAGGAGGGACAUUAUGCACGGGAAUGUCCUCAGACGACUUUGGUUGCACCAUCCCAGCAGAUGACCUCAGGCAGUGUUGCACAACCAGCAGCUUCAGCCGUACCACAGAGCAGUGGCAGAGGUAGAGGAAGAGGGGCAACCUCUUCAUCAGGGAUAGGUUCCCGAGGUGCAGGUCCGUCAGCCCCAGCAUGGAUUUUCACCAUGACUCAACAGGAGGCAGACACGUCUAACACCGUGGUGUCAGGUAAUCUCAUCAUUGGGUGUUCAGAGGUGUAUGCUUUGAUGGACCCCGGUGCUUCUCACUCUUUUAUUGCUUCUAGAGCCGCAGAGAGGUUGGGUUUGAUAGUCUCCGAGUUAGAGUGUCCUCUUUCGGUUAGUGGACCCAGAUGUGACCCAUCAUUAGCAGAGUCAGUCUGUCGAUUCAGUCCAGUGUGCAUAGAGGGUAGAUACUUUCCAGCUGACCUUGUGGUUCUAGAGUUGACAGAUUUUGAUGUCAUUCUAGGGAUGGAUUGGUUAUCUACAUGGGAUGCUACCUUGAACUGCAGGGACAAGGUAGUCAGUUUUAGAGACCAGGAUGGGUCAGAGUGUGUCUUCAGAGGAGACAGGAGGGGACACUUAGAGGUUUGAUAUCAGCGCUCCAGGCUCGUAGGUUAUUGAGGAGAGGUUGUCAGGGAUUCCUAGCUCAUGUGAGAGAGCUAGACAGUCGAGUUAGGGAAUCGUCCUCAGUACCAAUGGUUAGAGAGUUCCCAGACGUGUUCCCUGAAGAGCUUCCAGGGCUUCCACCUGAUAGGGAAAUAGAGUUCGAGAUAGAAUUGAUGCCUGGUACCAGACCGAUCUCUAUUCCUCCCUACAGGAUGGCACCAGCAGAGCUGAGAGAGUUGAAAGAGCAGUUGCAGGAGUUGGUAGACAAGGGUUUCAUCCGCCCGAGUACCUCACCUUGGGGUGCUCCAGUGCUGUUUGUCAGAAAGAAGGAUGGAACUCUGAGACUUUGUAUCGACUACAGGCAGUUGAACAAAGUCACUACCAAGAAUAAGUACCCUUUACCCAGGAUCGAUGAUCUAUUCGACCAGAUGGCAAGAGCAGGUUGUUUCUCUAAGAUAGAUCUGAGAUCCGGAUACCAUCAGUUGAAGAUCAGGGAAGAGGAUGUACCGAAGACAGCCUUCAGGACCAGAUAUAGGCAUUAUGAGUUCCUAGUAAUGCCGUUCGGGUUGACUAACGCCCCUGCAGCAUUCAUGGAUCUCAUGAACAGGGUUUUCAGAGAAUACCUGGAUCGCUUUGUGAUCGUCUUCAUAGAUGAUAUCUUGGUGUAUUCUAGAGAUGCAGAUGAACAUGCCCAACAUCUGAGAAUAGUCCUGCAGACUUUGAGAGAACAUGGCUUGUAUGCCAAGUUCUCCAAGUGCGAAUUCUGGUUGAGGAGCAUUUCCUUUUUGGGGCAUGUAGUUUCAGACGAAGGCAUAGCAGUGGACCCCAAGAAGGUAGAGGCAGUAGCCAACUGGCCUACACCCACUACAGUGACAGAGAUCAAGAGUUUUCUGGGUUUGGCAGGCUACUAUCGGAGGUUCGUUCAGGACUUCUCGAAGAUAGCUGCUCCUAUGACCAGACUGACCCGAAAGAACCAGAAGUUUGUGUGGUCAGAAGAAUGUUAAGAAAGUUUUGAAGAGCUGAAGAGACGGUUGACUUCAGCACCAGUUUUAGCUCUGCCAAUCAGUCAUGAGGACUUCACAGUGUUCUGUGAUGCAUCUCGAGUGGGGUUAGGCUGUGUAUUAAUGCAGAACGACAGAGUGAUAGCUUAUGCUUCUAGACAGCUGAAGAAGCAUGAGUUGAACUACCCCACACAUGAUUUGGAAAUGGCAGCAGUUAUCUUUGCACUUAAGAUGUGGAGGCAUUACCUCUACGGAGUUAAAUGUGAGAUCUUCACGGAUCAUAAAAGCCUGCAACACAUCUUGAGCCAAAGAGAACUGAACUUGAGGCAGAGACGGUGGGUAGAAUUGCUCAGUGAUUAUGAUUGCAAGAUCCAAUAUCAUCCGGGAAAGGCUAAUGUAGUAGCUGAUGCCUUAAGCCGGAAGUCACUCGGCAGUUUAUCCCACAUUUCAGCAGUGAGAAGACCGGUGGUGAAGGACUUUUAUAGGCUCAUGGAUGAAGGUUUACGGUUACAGUUAUCUGGUACAGGUGCUUUAGUCGCACAGAUAAAAGUUACCCCCGUGUUUCUAGAGCAGGUGGCUCUGAAACAGCACGAGGACCUUGAGUUAGUGAAGAUUGCUAGGACUGUUCAGUCUGGCAACAGUGCAGAGUUCAGAUUUGACAGUGAGGGGAUUCUUCGUCACGGGAAGAGGUUAUGUGUACCAGAUGACAGCAGUUUGAAAUAGGACAUUAUGAGGGAAGCUCAUAAUGCAAGGUAUAGCAUUCACCCUGGAGCCACCAAAAUGUAUCAGGAUCUGAGAAGAGUUUAUUGGUGGCCAGCGAUGAAGAAAGAAGUGGCACAGUUUGUGUCAGCCUGCGAAACAUGUCAAAGGGUGAAGCUAGAGCACCAGAAGCCGGCUGGAAUGCUUAACCCACUGCCGAUUCCAGAGUGGAAAUGGGAGAACAUAGCCAUGGAUUUUGUAGUGGGGUUACCAGCGACGUCCAACAGACUAGACUCUAUCUGGGUGAUUGUGGAUAGACUGACUAAAUCUGCUCACUUCAUUCCAGUCAAGAGUAACUACUCUGUGGACAGACUUGCGCAGGUGUAUGUAGAAGAGAUAGUGAAGCUGCAUGGAGUUCCAGUGUCGAUAGUCUCAGAUAGAGGACCUCAGUUCACCUCCAGGUUUUGGCGGAGUCUGCAAGCUGCUAUGGGCACAAGGUUGGAUUUCAGCACGGCUUUCCAUCCACAGACAGACGGUCAGUCAGAGAGGACCAUCCAGACCAUAGAGGAUAUGUUGAGAAUGUGCGUGUUAGACUUUGGCGAUUCUUGGAGGCAGCAUCUACCUUUGGUGGAGUUUGACAAUAACAGCCAUCAUGCUAGCAUAGGGAUGGCUCCUUAUGAAGCUUUGUAUGGAAGGAAGUGCAGAACACCUGUUUGAUGGGAAGAAGUAGGAGAGAAGGCUCUUGUAGGGCCAGAGUUAGUGGAGAUUACCAGCAGACUAGUGCCUGUCAUCAGAGAGAGGAUCAGAACAGCUGUAAGCAGACAGAAGAGCUAUGCAGACGUCCGUAGGAAGCAGAUAGAGUUCCAGGAGGGGGAUAUGGUAUUGCUGAAGGUGUCUCCAAUGAAGAGAGUGGUUCGCUUUGGGAGGAAGGGUAAACUAGCUCCACGAUACAUUGGUCCCUUUGAGAUUCUGCAGAGAAUUGGGAAUGUGUCAUACAAGCUGGAUUUACCUGCUUCUAUGGAAAGAAUCCAUCCGAUUAUCCAUGUUUCCAUGCUACGGAAGUUUGUGUCAGAUCCUGGUAAGGUUCUAAGUGAGCCUGAUGUAGAGAUCCUAGGAGAUCUCACCUAUGCAGAACAGCCAGUGCGGAUCAUCGACACUCAGAUCAGAAGGUUGAGAAACAAGGAAAUCCCGAUGGUAAAAGUCCUGUGGAACCACCACAAUCUAGAGGAGUGCACCUGGGAGACACGGGAAUCAAUGCUUCAGCAGUACCCAUAUCUGUUUUGAGGUUAGUCAGCUAGCUUUCCCCUUUUCUAUGUGCUAUGUGUGUUUAUAUGUUUGAGGAACAUUCGGGGAUGAAUGUUCUUAAGGGGGGAGAAUGUAAUACCCGGCUAGAGUCCGGCAUCGGAAUUCCUGUAGUCCGGUGGAUUUCUGAUGUCGGAAUGCCCUAGAAGGGUUCGGGUAUGUUUUUAUGUGUUUUUUUUAAAGAGUUUUAAUGUUUUAAAGUGUUUAAAGGAAUGAGUUUUUGAAAGAAAAGCACCAAGGCAGAAAAGCCAAGGUUCGGCCGCCGAAUGUCACUUUUGGCCGCCGAACUUGCAUGGCUUUCGAAUUUCACGUUUGGCCGCCGAAGGUGGUCUGGCCAGCCACAUAUAAAAGGCCCUAGGUCGGUCAAAUGGAUAAGAUUUCCUUUCCAUUUGCACGAGCUGAGGUGAGACUUGAUCCUCCUUGGGUGAUUUGUGUGUUUUCUCAAAUCUUUCAUGGUUUUGAAUGAUUUUCAUGGGGUUUUGAAGGUUUUGAGCAAAAAGAGCAAGUUUGGAAGCUUGGAGAUUUUGGGAGAAGAUUUCUUCAUAACUCCAUGUUAGGAUCGUUUAUUUCCUUGUUUGGAAGAGGUAAGUAAAGAUCCUGAACUUCCUUUCUUGAUUUUUGAAGGUUUUAAGGGAGUUUUAUGGUGUAUAUGCAUGUUUAAGUGUUAUUUGCUAUGUUUGUUGGGGUUAUAGGUUAGUUUUAGACCCCUUUGUGCAUGUUAUAUUGUAACAGCUCGAAAACCGAACUGAUACCGGCACUAGGAUCCAGAUCGGCUUAAGGCCGCCUAGACUCGUAGUAAGCCUACUGUGAACUCUGUGUACCUGUGAAAUCCCAUACAUGAUCAUACACUUUCUGUAACAAUUAAAACUUUUCUUUUUACACGGCUUAAACUGUGCAUACUGUAUCUCUAUACUGAAAAAACUUGCCAGAGCUCUCCUCUUAGCUCAAGGCAGCUCAAACUCAUACUAUGUUAAGCCUGGUUUUUCAUACAUAAAACAUAGAACAUUUACAUAAAAAGAUCAUGUACAAACUCAAAGGGAUAACAACUCUUGUACGUCAAGCACCAUCUAUACACUAUACAUUAUAUUAUCUCUUUACAAAUACAUGUCCAUUCUAACUAUUACAUAGUCUCUAUACAUUCUUCCUGUACCCUUCUUACUCUCUUCCGAACUCAGAACCUGCAAAACUGGGGUUAAGGGAGAGGGGUGAGCUUCUAUAGCCCAGUGAGCAGGAACUAUAAAAACAGUUUAUAAAACAUAUGCCUUUAUGCCAUGCAUCACUUCACAAAAAUACACAUCAAGGAAGAAGUUGUCACCUAUAGCCCUCCACAUAACUGACUCACAUGUGGCACUUUACUAAGCACAGUGCCUGGGGCGAUUAGGCCUCCUCCAGGACUUAAUGUUCUGAAAAGGUUUUGUCAGGGCGAUUAGGCCUCCUGACUGUUUUCUGAAAACGUUUUGUCAGGGCGAUUAGGCCUCCUGACUACAUUAACAUAAUAACAGGGGCGGUCAGGCCUCCCUGCUCACAUACCUGUCAUGCUUGACUCUUUACUUCAUUCAUAUCAUAUCAUAGCAUACUAUACUGAGGGCUACAGGAUCAUUCAACGUUCAUCCGCAUAUUCAUUAAAUUAUGCAAUGCAGCAUCUUCGUGGAUUCUAAUGCAACAACCUAAUAUUACAUGGCAUCCAUGAUGCGUGUCUCAUGCUCAUGCAGUUAUUAUCUUUAAACAUCAUUUCAAAUCAUGCAUAGUUAGUCCCACUCACCUCUGGCUGACUUUAGACUGACUUUGCAGGUUCUGUAGCAGUGCUCACUGCUGAUCUCCCUGGUUUCUUUGGUCCGUUCCUACACAAUUGGACUCAGAUGAGGAACCAAACUAACUUCAUGACAUCUCUACUAACUCCCCCAAAAGCCCUCUAAAAGACCUUAGAACUAUCACAUAAAACAUGCAAAAGAAAGCUGGACAGGGCACUUUCGGCGGCAGGUUCGGCGGCCGAAACUCCCCUCCAGAGACGAAACUCACCUACUUUCGGCGGCCGAACCUCUACUUUCGGCGGCCAAAAGUCCUAUUACUACUCCUUCGGGUGCACAUUCGGCAUCCAAAAGUCUCAUCCAGAGACGAAACUCAACCUUCGGCGGCACUUUCGGCGGCCGAACCUUCCCUCCAGAGACGAAAAUCCCAUUUUUCAGAGGCAAGCUUAGGCAGCCGAAACCACCUCCUCAGCACAUUCGGCGGCCGAACCCUUCUUCGGCGGCCGAACCCUUCUUCGGCGGCCGAACCUGGUUUCUCCCGAAGGGCAGAAACCUGCUCUGCUUCAUGCACAACUCCUCCUAUCCUUCUCUCAACAUGCACACACAACUCCUCAACAUGCAUAUACACUUGUACAUGCUCAAAGGGGUCUAAAACUAGCCUAUAACCCCAACAAACACAACAUAUAACACUUAAACAUGCUUGAACCUCAAAAAUCAUCAAAAACCUCCUAUAAACCUAAUCAUGCAUACUACCCCAUAAACUUUCAUAAAACCUUUAAAAAUCAUGUUAAAAGCUUAGGAUCUAUCCCUUACCUCUUGGAAAACUUGAGGUUAAAUGACUCUAACGUGGAGUUGUGAAGAUCUCAGCUCUCCAAGCUCCAAACUUCAAAACUCACUCUUUUUGCUCAAAACUUCAAAACAACCACAACACCUUUAAAACUCAUGGAAGAUUUAGUGAGAAACUCAAAAAUCAUGAAAGUCAACAUGGAGAGGUUUUGCUCAUCUUUGGCUGCUGGUGGGAGGAGAAAUAUCCUCCUCUCACCGACCCUCGGGCCUUUUAUAGGUGGCUGGCCAGACCACCUUCGGCAGCCGAACGUGAAGCCGAAACCAUGCAAUGUUCGGCGGCCGAAAGUGACCUUCGACGGCCGAACAUUAACAUUUCUCCCCUAUUAUUUUUCUUUCAAAAACUCACUUCUCUAACCCUUUAAAACCUUAAAACUCUUUAAAAAACAUACUUAAAACUCUUUAAAGGCACUAAAACUCUUUUAAAAAACUUUCUUAAAAAUACUUUAAAACAUAUGUAUUACCCUUCUAGAGAAUUCUGACACCCGAGAUUCCACCGGACUACAGGAGUUCCGAUGCCGGACUCUAGCCGGGUAUUACAUUCUCCCCCCUUAAGAACAUUCGUCCCCGAAUGUUCCUCAAACUUAUAAACACAUAGAAAAGGGCAAAACUAACUCUAAACAGACAUAGGUAUUGCUGAAACAUAACUCCUGUGUCUCCCCGGUGCACUUCUUUUAAAUAAUAGUGGUUCACCAAAACCUUAACCAUCGAAACCUCUUUGUUUCUCAGCUUCCUGCUCAUUCCUCCUAUAGUGAACCUCCCUUGUAUCGAAGACACCUUCAGCAAUACCAUAUCUCCCGCCUGAACCUCCAUACCUGGCAACUUGACCAUCUCUGUGUUCUUCUACUUGUUUCUGAGCUACUUGCUCUAGAAACACUGGUGUAACUUCCAUCUGUGCCCUUCACGCAUUAGUACCCAAUACUCUACAUAUCCAUCCUUCAUCACCUAUCCUCUAAGCUCUACAAGCUUUCGCUGUGCACUCUGAUCCUUGCCCUUCUCUCUUCAUCUCUUCUAACCUGGCUUCCUUUUUAACUCUCAACGGGUCGUAUCCCCGUUCAACUGCUCUCAAACGUACAAGGUCUUAAGGAUUAAUCCUUCGUUUCCCCCUAUUCAUACUAAACACUCUAGAGUGGGGUACUAAGUCGGAUUAAACCCUUUUCUACCAAGUCUCUCAACUACUCCUAACUCUCUUAGCUUUACUCGUGCUAAACGUUAACUCUAUCUACAGGCACUGAAACUAUUUUCCUAUCUUGAUCAUCUUACUUCCUUUCAUGAGCUACAAACCCCUGUUCACCCCUUCCUGGGCAACCUAUGAGCCUGUAGGGCUGAUAUCAAACCUCUGAGCAUCUAUACUCUGUCCCUCUAAAGGACUACCUCUGAUCCAUCCUAUACUCUGAACAUCUCUACCUUGUCUCUGCAGACUCGACAGUACUACGAGUAGCUAGCCAAUCUAUCAUUAGAAGGACAUCAAAACUGUCCAAUCUAUAACCAUAAUGUUAGAAAAAAGGCAUCUACUCACCACUAACUGACUCUACUACUGAUGGACCACUCUGGAGUCUACUAACUCCACAACACUCUAAGCCCAGAAGCUAUUAGACCUACUCUCUCUAUGGUUCUAAAACCAACAGGGGAAAAACAUUAGGGCUUAAACAGACAUACACAUCAAAACAUCCAAAGAUGUAGUUACCUGACACCCUGGUGUUAAACGUGUCUGCCUCUUGUUGUGUCAUAGUAAAGAUCCGAGCCGGAGCUGACGGACCUUCACCUCGGGAACCCAUCUGUGAAGAGGUUGACCCUCUUCCUCUACCUCUGCUCUGUGUCGUGGCUGGAGCUACUGGUCGUGGUACACUUCCCAAAGUUGUCUGAUGGGACGGUGCUGUGAAAAAUGCCUGAGGGCACUCACGAGCCAUGUGUCC